UACGUAGGGUGCAGGCGUUAAUCGGAAUUACUGGGCGUAAAGCGUGCGCAGGCGGUCUUUUAAGUCAGAUGUGAAAUCCCCGGGCUUAACCUGGGAACUGCGUUUGAAACUGGAAGGCUUGAGUGUGGCAGAGGGGGGUGGAAUGCCGCGUGUAGCAGUGAAAUGCGUAGAGAUGCGGCGGAACACCGAUGGCGAAGGCAGCCCCCUGGGCUGAGAUUGACGCUCAGGCACGAAAGCGUGGGGAGCAAACAGG
rnacentral:rRNA from 1 species